UACGUAGGGGGCUAGCGUUGUCCGGAUUUAUUGGGCGUAAAGAGCGUGUAGGCGGCCAAGUAGGUCCGGUGUGAAAACUCGAGGCUUAACCUCGAGAUGUCAUCGGAAACCAUUUGGCUAGAGUCCGGAAGAGGAAAGUGGAAUUCCUGGUGUAGCGGUGAAAUGCGUAGAUAUCAGGAGGAAUACCGAUGGCGAAGGCAGGUCUCUGGGCUGACACUGACGCUCAUGCACGAAAGCGUGGGGAGCAAACAGG
rnacentral:rRNA from 1 species